AUGAAGACCAUGAAGAGAUGCAUUAUUCCUAGCAUCCUGCUGAUGCUUUCACUCGAGGCCGUCCUCCUCGUCGCCGCCGGCCGCCCUUCCACGGCCACCGGCGCCGACGAUGUGGGCACCAUUCUCCUGCCGAGCCAAGGCAAAGGCGAAGCAGGAGUGGUGGCGGCAGCGAAGAAGAAGGGGGAAGAGGAAGAGAGGCCAUGGAAAUGCUGCGACUUUGCUCUGUGCACCAGGUCAUUCCCACCGCUGUGCCGCUGCAUGGACAAGGUCGAGCAGUGUGCUGCGACCUGCGAGAAAUGCGAGCCGGCCACGUCGGACUCAUCCCGCCGCGUCUGCAACGACUGGUACCAUGGCUUCCCGGGGCCCAUGUGCACGGAGGCUGUUGCAACAGCGAAGAAGGAGAAGGCGGAAGAAGAAGAGAGGCCGUGGAAAUGCUGUGACUUGGCUCUGUGCACCAGGUCGUUCCCGCCGAUGUGCCGCUGCCUGGACAAGGUCGAGCAGUGUGCCGCAAACUGCAAGAGCUGCGAUCCGGCCGCGUCGGACUCGUCCCGCCGCGUCUGCAACGACUGGUACCAUGGCUUCCCCGGCGCCAAGUGCACCGCCGACGGUAACUAG
rnacentral:rRNA from 1 species